UGGGCGAAGAUUCAGAACAUGCAACAAGUAUCGGAUUCAUGGUGGGUGUAAUUUCUUUGAAUGGAUAGACCCUCCAAUGUGCCAUCGAGCAAAGGUGGUCAUCCCUGGACUACUAAGAAAAAUUGGUGACCUUGAAACUGAAAUCACAUCCCUAAGUACGACAACUGACAUUGGAAGUCAUCGGCAAUGCAGUGGUUCUUCAAAUGGAUUUGAGACACAAUCUCACAACCUUCAAAAUGUUGGAAGAGAAAGCUGUGAAAGUUGUGCUGAAAGCAGGGGUAGAGUAAAUGAUGGAGGUCGAAUGCAGUGUUACUACUUUUUGAAUACUAUGUAUUUUGCUGUAAUUCUAUUGGUUGUGGUUAUUUGGGCUACAAAAUCAAAGUAGAAGUUGUUGGUAUUGUUAGUUUAUUUUUGGGUAAUCUUCAUGUGCAGUAUUGACAAUGACAAAGCUAUUGCACCCUAGGCAUUGAUUUGUAAUGAAUUUUGUUGCAAAAUGAAACCCCAAA